GUAAAUAUAUAAAUAAUGCUCACUUUUCGUCUCUUAUUUCGAAAUCGAUUUUGCAGGUUGGUUUGUUGUUAGCCUCGAGGUUCUCAAGUUCUCCAAUAGUUAUUAUCUGGCCAAUUACAUCUGCAUCAUGGAAGAGUUCUCCACUUUGUAUCUUCUGAUACUUUGCCAACGACAGAAAGGAAGAAUCUGAUUUGGGGUCACAAUGCAUGACUACAGUCCCAGGGAUGAAAGCCAUCUUAUAGAGAUGGCUGGUUGGUCUGUAUUGGCCGGUGGCAUAGUUAAGACCGAAGUUUUCAAUGAAAACCCAGUCAUCAAUGUGCAGCCUGUUCACAUAAAGGUUCACCAAAUCCUUCCUCACGCUAGCGUGUAUCUUCUUACCCUAUAAAUGCAUGACGCCAUGAAUGUAGCAUCUUAACCUGAACUCGCCACGCCGUUUUGUAUGGCCUAACAUCCUUGAGGAAAGCAAAUGACGCUGCCAUUUCAAUGAGUCGUGGUAUGUUUGAUUGUGAGAGUGAUUUGGUUUUCUUUUCAAAGCGUCAUAUAUAUAGUAGAGCAUAGAGUAGGUUUGGUUGUUAAGAUCGUAUUUGAAAGAUGAAUAUAGGAUUUUUAUAAAAAGCGAAAUCUGUGGAAUAUACGAAUCAAAGUUGAUUUGAUUCUUUUGUUUUGAUAUUUUAAGUUUCUAUAAAUAAACAAAAUCAGUUCAAUCCGA